UACGUAGGGACCAAGCGUUGUUCGGAAUUACUGGGCGUAAAGGGCGCGUAGGCGGUCUGCUAAGUUGGAUGUGAAAACUCUGGGCUUAACCCAGAGCCUGCAUUCAAUACUGACAGGCUAGAGUUCUGGAGGGGAUAGCGGAAUUCCUGGUGUAGCGGUGAAAUGCGUAGAUAUCAGGAGGAACACCGGUGGCGAAGGCGGCUAUCUGGACAGAGUCUGACGCUGAGGCGCGAAAGCUAGGGGAGCAAACAGG
rnacentral:rRNA from 1 species